ensembl:lncRNA
UUUACUUGUUUUGUCAGUGCAUGACCAGUUUGUUUUCUCCUUGAAUUCUUGAUAUGUUCAUGCAGUUUCAUUAUCUUCCAGAAAGAUACUGACAGUUUUAUAUUUCUGCUGGUUAUUUUUAAGUUUGAAAGCUUUCAUUUAUAUUAACUGAGGUACAGUAUAUGGGACCUGCUGCUCUUUACAUUAGCUGGUGACCACCUCCAACUGACAAACUUUAGUAUUUGUAUGUCCGUUGAUAAAGAGAUACAUAUUACCGAACUUAAGUCUCAGUGUAUUCUGUAAGUAUUUUGUGCUUUGAAUUCACUGUGUACUGUCCCUUUGAAAACAUACCGGUACACAGUACAUAACUGAUGUGAAAGCAACCUUUGUUUGUUGACUGUUGAUAGUAAGGAUGUAAUUACUCUGCUGUGUGAUGUGAUAACUAUGCUAAAGCUUGGAAUCAUGUCCUUAUUUUCAUUUUAUUUUAUAGUAAAAUAAUGCCUGUUUAUUUAUUUUAAGAACAAUAGUUUUUGUUAUUCCACGUUGGGAUUUGUUUCUCUUGGAAAUUUGAUCUGAAGUCUAAUAUACUAUGUUGGAAAUAAAUGAGAUAAUGAAGUGGAAUUCAGAAAUGUAUUAUAUUCUGCAGAGAUCCAUACAACAGACACACUACUAACGUCUCCAUUCUUGUCAGUGAGGUUCCUCAUAAAAACAACAUUUGUCUCUCCAGAUAAGUCUUUUUUUUUUAUUCACACUGUCAUAACGGACACACUACACACUGUCAUAACGGACACACUACACACUGUCAUGACUCUGCCGACUAGGUGUCAUAACCGUCUCAGCAAAUGUGUAUGAGUUACUGGUUCUGUCACACAGAAAGAGAGAGUGAGUAUGGGAGGGCCGGCUUGCAUACUAGCAUUCUUGCUUAAUCUUUAGACAGAUUUCUCACCACAUCUAAUUUCCUCAACAUGCCCGUCACAUAGUAGGAAAUAAUAACACUGGAAGUUCUCAUGACAUGACCCUUCUUUCACUGACUGACUCAUUUUUACACCAUCCUCCACUGACCUGUGCGUUCCUUUUUACCCCUCUUUCAAACACACUUCAAACAGCAAUGGUUUGGUAUACGGUAGGGCCCGGGGUUCAGGGUUUGGUAUACGGUAGGGCCCGGGGCUUAGGGUUUGGUAUACGGUAGGGCCCGGGGUUCAGGGUUUGGUAUACGGUAGGGCCCAGGGUUCAGGGUUUGGUAUACGGUAGGGCCCAGGGUUCAGGGUUUGGUAUACGGUAGGGCCCGGGGUUCAGGG